rnacentral:rRNA from 1 species
UACGUAGGGGGCAAGCGUUGUCCGGAAUCAUUGGGCGUAAAGAGCGUGUAGGCGGCUCGAUAAGUCCGCUGUGAAAGUCCAGGGCUCAACCCUGGGAUGCCGGUCGAUACUGCCGGACUAGAGUUCGGAAGAGGCGAGUGGAAUUCCUGGUGUAGCGGUGAAAUGCGCAGAUAUCAGGAGGAACACCGGUGGCGAAGGCGGAUCUCUGGGCCGUAACUGACGCUGAGGAGCGAAAGCAUGGGGAGCGAACAGG